UACUGAAUCAAUGCAGUUGGAGACAGCACAGACCUUACCUUCAUCCUCCCACCAGGGAAGGAUAUGUCCUUGGCGCAAGGAGGCUGGCAGGACUUUCAGAAGUUACUCAGGUUCCACGUGCUUUGCCAUCGGGACAUUGUCAAAUGAGCAGGAAUUGGCGAUCCUGUAAAUAAUCUGCAGCAAGGGGAGCAGGUGCCAGGGGGCGCAGGAGAGCCGCCGGUAGGACACCCAUCCUCGGCCGGGAGGUGCUGCCGAGGGUAGGAAGAGUCCUUCGGUCUACGGAAUGUACAACUAAGCGCAUUUAAAGCAGCUCCCUGGACACGUCUACUGCCAUGAGAUGUCUCAGCCAAGGAUUUUGAGCCAAGAUAUGAGGGAAAUGGUUUAACCAGAUGUGUGCCCAUGCCUGUGACACUGAACUUUGAGAUGCUGAUAUUUAAAAAGAUUGCCAUCUCCCCUG